rfam:Morus notabilis contig19096, whole genome shotgun sequence.
GGAUUAUAUAUUUUUGUUAAAGGUCUCGUUCAUUGUAAUGGGCUCUAUAGCCCUUGCCGACCAUCCUGAUAUAUCACCACCCAUAUUCCGAGUUC